GUUGGGCAGGAAAGGGUUAACCAGAUUAAGCACCUGACACCCUGUACAGGGUUUACUUGAAGGGUUGAGCACUCCGAACAUUGCAAUACUGAUUGGUCUCCAAGCUAAUUAAAGACAGCUAUCACCUAUUUUGUCCUUUAUAUGGGAUCUGCCCUUAUAUAGGCACUCAUUGGUUGUGUCAACUGGAUCAUGUCAGAUUAAAGUGUUUCAAAAUGAAUGUUAUUCUUCUCUAUCAAAAUGCCAUCUUUAAUAAUGUCACACUGUGAUUCGGUCCGGGAGAAGCACUUGAUAUUACAGCACAAGAGCUUGAGCUGCAAGAUCUAGAGCUGUCCAACUAGAGGACCAAUGGCCUACAGAAUGCUGAACCAAUCUAUUGAUUUCAUCGGACGACAUCAUCAUUUUUUAAAUAAUCUGAUCCCCUAACAUGAAGUAUUGUAAAUAAGUGACCCCGUUAUAUGGAAACAGUUGGACAGCACUGUUCCCUAAUUGGAGGGACUAGGUCAAUGGAAGGAUGGGCCGUGCCUAAAGGCCAAGAAGAAUGAGACUUAGGGUAAUUACGGUAAAAGGAUUUAAUCACGAAAGAGACUGAUAUGUAAAAUGCUUUGCACUUACAGUACUAGAAUCCUGGCUUCCAUGCAGAAUAUAGGAAGGGGAUCUAUUAUCCAGAAUACUGAGGCCUGGAGGCUGAAAAUGUUUUUCCAUAAUUUUGAGCACCAUACCUGACUGCUACAUAAAAACAUUAAAAAAAUACAAUUGUUUGUUUACUAGAUUUUGAGGAUUCUCCAUCAUUUCGAUGUUGUGAUAUUUUAUAUGACAUUACCUCAUAUGGAUGAAAAUCAUAAAAAUGAAUAUAGAUCCAAUGAAUACAGACCUAAAACUGAAUGGAUUUGGGACUGGUCAUCUGCGUGGGCACCAAGACUGUUAGAGAAAUGCCAAAAAAAACAGGACUGGUGCUUCCAAGAGAGCAUCUGUACGGGUUAGAGAUGAACUGAAGAACCUUUUCUGUUUAUUGUGCUUUAAAUGUAUUGCCUUUGCAGGAAAAGUUGCAUUUCAGCGAGUCAAACCUAAGGGAAUUUUACAACUCCCUGACCUGAUAGAAAAAUUCAAAGUGCAUCAUUUGCAUGUGGCUAAAGUGCUUUUCUGGAUACCUCCUCCCAGCAAGCAUGCAUAAGUGGCUCCAUUAGUGUUUGUGACAAGCUAUUUAUAAUUCUCACUCUUCACCGACUCUUCCAUUGCCAAACUCUUUGCCAGAGAGGUGACUAUUUCCUGUAGAUUAGUGUAAAACAACAUCAAUGAGAAGACAAACUGUGCUUGAAUAUAGGACGACAGAUGCAGUUGCACAAUGGACUAGAGCAGUGUUAAUAUGGGUUACGUUUAUUUUUUUAUCGCUUACCACAGCAAAAUGCAACUGAAAUCCCCGAUUUCUACUUUUUACACGUGGUUCCAAGUUGGGUAGUGACACUGCGCAUAACUAUGGUCACCAAACAAUCUAGUUGGCCAUUUGGUUCAUCCAAAAAUAAUGUAAAAUUAUCAUAUUUAGUUACAUUUCACUGGAACUGAGCAGAAAGGAAAAAAUUAAAGACAAAGUUCAGACCCACAUCUAAGCCAGUGAAGCCAUUAACAAAACUUGAACAAAAAAGCACCAGAUCAAAUCACCGAGGGUAAGUAAGGGGAUAAGUGUUCCAAUACAUAUCACUGACGCAAAAAUAAUGGUACCAACCAUCAGUACAUGACCUCACCCUGAAGACUUCACCUAAAACAUGGAAACAGCUCCCCUAGAUAUCUCGAUAAGCCAAAUGGCUAAACCAUAUAGAACUCUCACUACACGGAUAGUAUAUGGCUCUGACUAGAUCCCCUACCUACAAUAUACCCUGAGAGCUCCAUGUUGGAGAAACUUCAGCCAUCAAGACCCUCUUCUUUAUAUCUGGCAAAUAAACAAUGGCAAUAAGGUCAUACUGAAGUUUUAAACUUUA